rnacentral:rRNA from 1 species
UAAGGGAUAUUGCACAAUGGGCGCAAGCCUGAUGCAGCGACGCCGCGUGGGUGAUGACGGUUUUCGGACUGUAAAACCCUUUUCCAGGUGACGAGCAAGGACGGUAGCCUGGGAAUAAGUGUCGGCUAACUACGUGCCAGCAGCCGCGGUAAAACGUAGGACACGAGCGUUAUCCGGAGUUACUGGGCGUAAAGGGCGGGUAGGCGGUGCGAUAAGACUGGUGUGAAAGCCUUCGGCUUAACCGAGGGAGGACACUGGUGACUGUCGGACUAGAGGCAGAUAGAGGGGUGUAGAAUUCCGGGUGUAGUGGUGAAAUGCGUAGAGAUCCGGAGGAAUACCAGAGGCGAAGGCGGCACCCUGGGUCUGACCUGACGCUGAUCCGCGACAGCAUGGGGAGCGAA